UUUCAACAACGGAUCUCUUGGUUCCGGCAUCGAUGAAGAACGCAGCGAAAUGCGAUACGUAAUGUGAAUUGCAAAUUCAGUGAAUCAUCGAGUCUUUGAACGCACAUUGCGCCCC
rnacentral:rRNA from 3 species